UUGGCUGGCGGUGGCCGGCGCGGGAGGGGGGGGGACAAGGAGCAUCAGUUGCAUUUCAAACAUUGUGGUGGUCGGAUGUACUCGCUCCAACACAGUGACACUCCAUGUACAAGGUAGACUGAAUCUACUGCAAGGCAUCAUGGACCGGUUUCAUACAUAUGCAUCUCUGGUUGGCUGGCAUAAGCAUGAUCCUGUGAGCUAGUGUUACUCCUGGCAACUACUUUUGACUAGUUCUUCCUGUGAAACAGCUGUCUUUCAAAGAUGCCGAGGUCAUGCUGUGUGCCAGGAUGCAAGUCCAACUAUAAAUCUGCAGAUGCCUCUGCGUUCAGUUUCCCUAAAGAUGAACAGCGACGGCAGCAGUGGAUGAGGGCUAUCCACAGGAAAGACUUUACUCCAACAGAAAAUACAAUUGUUUGUUCCAAGCACUUCCAAAAACGUUUCAUCAUUACAGAAGACAGUAUGACACGCGCUGAUGGAACUGUAGUAACAGCAAAGAGAGGCAGGCCAUCUCUACAUAAAGAUGCUUGUCCAACCAUCUUUGAAAACCAGCCCAAGUCUAUGUCCAAGGAAAUACCAGCUCCUCGCACCACUCCACAGGAAAGGAGAGACAAGCUAAUUGAACGUGAUGAAAUGGUGUUCAGUGAUUGGAUUGAGAAAGACCAAAUAAACAGCUUUAAAGAAUUUUGUGAAGGAUUUACUGAAAAGCUCUCUAAAGGUUGGCUGCAUCUUUCCAGUGAUGACUAUGUGUCUUUCCUUAGAAUUAACUGCGAUGGCCAACCAAAGCUAACAGUGUCCUUUAAAGUUAUGUCAGAUUUAACAGUUUCAGUGUGGCUUGAAAAUAAUACCUUAAAACCAAGAAAGUUGAAGUGGCUUUUAGGAGAAGCAAAUGCAUGUGAUUUGUGGUCAAAAUUUGAGAAUUUACUUAGUCACCUUAAUCUUGAAUCUGCAUCAACUUUAACUGUCACUGAUAAACUUACUCAGUGUAAAGAAACUAUUGAAGAGAUUUUGGAAACUGACAAUGAUGAAAUGAGCUCCAAAAAGAAAGUGAUGUGGUUCUGUGCUGAACAACUAGGUUUGAUCUGCAAAGAUAGUAUGAAAUA